UACGUAGGGUGCGAGCGUUGUCCGGAAUUAUUGGGCGUAAGGAGCUCGUAGGCGGUUUGUCGCGUCUGCUGUGAAAACUCGGGGCUUAACCCCGGGCCUGCAGUGGGUACGGGCAGACUAGAGUGCGGUAGGGGAGACUGGAAUUCCUGGUGUAGCGGUGAAAUGCGCAGAUAUCAGGAGGAACACCGGUGGCGAAGGCGGGUCUCUGGGCCGUAACUGACGCUGAGGAGCGAAAGCGUGGGGAGCGAACAGG
rnacentral:rRNA from 1 species